rnacentral:misc_RNA from 1 species
GAAAUGCGAUAAGUAAUGUGAAUUGCAGAAUUCAGUGAAUCAUCGAAGCUUUGAACGCACCUUGCGCUCCUUGGUAUUCCUUGGAGCAUGCUUGUUUGAGUAUCAUGAAAUCUUCAAAGUAAAUCUUUUGUUAACUCAAUUGGUUUCUACUUUGGUAUUGGAGGUCUUUGCAGCUUCACACCUGCUCCUCUUUGUUCAUUAGCUGGAUCUCAGUGUUAUGCUUGGUUCCACUCGGCGUGAUAAGUUAUCUAUCGCUGAGGACACUGUAAAAGGUGGCCAAGGUAAAUGCAGAUGAACCGCUUCUAAUAGUCCAUUGACUUGGACAAUACUUUUAUGAUCUGAUCUCAAAUCAGGUAGGACUACCCGCUGAACUUAAGC